AUUUGAUCGUAAGCUAACUAAGGCGUUAAAGAUAGAACUACGUCUGCCAUUAUACGUUUCUAUUCAAUACAACAUUAAGUAUCACAAUUAUGCGACGUCACAAAGAUAGUGGCUGUACCGCAAAAAGGUACGUUAAUAUCAAUGCAAUUCUUUACAGUUAUUCUUAAACAAAGAUAUUCAUACCAAAAAUUUACCCCAACAAAGAUUCAGACUCUUUGCUGUUAGAAUUAGAAGCAAAGGUAUCAUAUAUUUCAC
rnacentral:lncRNA from 1 species